GUGACUGUACCUGGUAUUGAUUGUAUUGUUAGUUGUACAGUGCAACCGUAGACAGCCACAUCCGUCAACACAAAUGGCUCCUGCCUACAGGGUCUGUACAGUUGUCGCAUUUUCUGUGCAAUGACUCCAUACAUG
ensembl:scaRNA LOC120095774 small Cajal body-specific RNA 14